UACGUAGGUGGCAAGCGUUAUCCGGAAUUAUUGGGCGUAAAGCGCGCGCAGGCGGUCCUUUAAGUCUGAUGUGAAAGCCCACGGCUCAACCGUGGAGGGUCAUUGGAAACUGGGGGACUUGAGUGCAGAAGAGGAGAGCGGAAUUCCACGUGUAGCGGUGAAAUGCGUAGAGAUGUGGAGGAACACCAGUGGCGAAGGCGGCUCUCUGGGACGGUACUGACGCUGAGACGCGAAAGCGUGGGGAGCGAACAGG
rnacentral:rRNA from 1 species